UUAGCAGAAAAUGAGCUGGGUAAGGGGAGAGUCCUUGCAAUCCGAAGGCGCUGAGGCUGCUCUGUUUGUUAUUCAACAUGCAUGGACAAACAAUGAGAAUACAAGACACAGAUAACAGGCAGUUCUAGGGGAGCUGGUCUUUGAAAAGCCCCUUCAGAAAGCAUGGGUGUACUACUGUAUGUGUCCUUUAGCAUGUAGUGCACUUUUAGAGCUGUGCAUUUUUUCCCCCGUGCAGUUUAAAAUAAAUCCAACAGGGGCCGUGUUUGUUGAGCUGAUUUGACCGGUUGAUACAGAUAGCAGUGGCGAGCCUCCCUGCUUAUGUGGAAAAAAGACUAUUUUAAGUGUCAUAAUUAAGUUUAGAAUCCUUGUUUGGGCUCAUUCACUGCUCGAAAUGAGGAGGACUGGCUGCUUUUAGGUCCUUUCUGCAGGGGAUUGGCCCAACGCCUGUGCACGUUCAGUUGGAGAAGAAUGUUUUCUUUUCUAGUUUAAUAUUAGAAACUAUAUUUUUACUUGUUUAAACCGGAUUUGAUUAUUCCCGUGGAGAUUCCCCCCCGCCCCGUCUAUCACUCAAAUCUUUGUUCAUUGUUCACUGACUGUGGCAGGCUGCUUAAGAGUACAGAGACCGAGGGGGAGGCCCCCUGGCUGGUUUGAUGUUGAAAUAGUAAACCGGCAUGAGGAGGGUGGCUGGAAAAGUGGACAUUGCAGCUUUAAUUAACUUCAAGAUGCUUCAACGAGGACCAGAGCAUAGUAGUGACGUUGCCUCAUAAAUCUGUCCAGUGCAGUGUGUUGCAUUGAACUAUUACAGUAUCACCGUCAUAUUGAAUAUUCACUACCUAUCCGGAGCGGAUUUGCAUAAUUGGACCUUUUUCUUUUUUUAUGAAACUUGUUUGCAAAAACCAAACCAAACACCCAAGUGAAAACCGCGGCGAUCUGCAUGAUUAUAAAGGGUUCAAAUCUAUCCGAAAAUUCCUGCCCUUCAGUACCUAUCCCUCGUCACUAGGAAUUUCUCUCAGCCAAGGGAAAGAUUCAUUGGUUUGAGAGUUACCUGGGUCACAGGACUACGUUGGCAAAUCAGUGCUUAACAAACUAAUGAAGACAAGCAGCAGAAGCAGCAGCAGCGCUGGCCUUCUCCACAGCAGGGUUCCACAGAUGUUUCAGAUAACACAGUGAGUUUCGCUGACAAAAUACGUAUGUAAUAUAUAAAAUUAAAAUAAUGGGAAUUGAAAGAAAAAACAGGGGCACUCCAACCCACCCAUGUGAAGCUGAUU
ensembl:lncRNA